ACAUGCAGUCGAGCGGUAGAGAGAAGCUUGCUUCUCUUGAGAGCGGCGGACGGGUGAGUAAUGCCUAGGAAUCUGCCUGGUAGUGGGGGAUAACGUUCGGAAACGGACGCUAAUACCGCAUACGUCCUACGGGAGAAAGCAGGGGACCUUCGGGCCUUGCGCUAUCAGAUGAGCCUAGGUCGGAUUAGCUAGUUGGUGAGGUAAUGGCUCACCAAGGCGACGAUCCGUAACUGGUCUGAGAGGAUGAUCAGUCACACUGGAACUGAGACACGGUCCAGACUCCUACGGGAGGCAGCAGUGGGGAAUAUUGGACAAUGGGCGAAAGCCUGAUCCAGCCAUGCCGCGUGUGUGAAGAAGGUCUUCGGAUUGUAAAGCACUUUAAGUUGGGAGGAAGGGCAGUUGCCUAAUACGUAACUGUUUUGACGUUACCGACAGAAUAAGCACCGGCUAACUCUGUGCCAGCAGCCGCGGUAAUACAGAGGGUGCAAGCGUUAAUCGGAAUUACUGGGCGUAAAGCGCGCGUAGGUGGUUUGUUAAGUUGGAUGUGAAAUCCCCGGGCUCAACCUGGGAACUGCAUUCAAAACUGACUGACUAGAGUAUGGUAGAGGGUGGUGGAAUUUCCUGUGUAGCGGUGAAAUGCGUAGAUAUAGGAAGGAACACCAGUGGCGAAGGCGACCACCUGGACUAAUACUGACACUGAGGUGCGAAAGCGUGGGGAGCAAACAGGAUUAGAUACCCUGGUAGUCCACGCCGUAAACGAUGUCAACUAGCCGUUGGAAGCCUUGAGCUUUUAGUG
rnacentral:rRNA from 1 species